rnacentral:rRNA from 1 species
CCCUUAGAUGUUCUGGGCCGCACGCGCGCUACACUGAUGCAUUCAACAAGCCUAGCCUUGACCGAGAGGUCCGGGUAAUCUUUGAAACUGCAUCGUGAUGGGGCUAGAUUAUUGCAAUUAUUAAUCGUCAACGAGGAAUGCCUAGUAAGCGUGAUUCAUCAAAUCGCGUUGAUUACGUCCCUGCCCUUUGUACACACCGCCCGUCGCUCCUACCGAUUGAAUGUGUUGGUGAGGAGCUCGGAUUGGCAGCAGUUGGUGGUUCGCCACCGGCUAUUGCUGAGAAGUCCUCCAAACCGCCCCAUUUAGAGGAAGGAGAAGUCGUAACA